CUUAAGCGUGUUACACUGUCAGUCACAGACAGACAAGACAUUACACAUUACACGUCGUCAUAAGUUACUUAAAAAGUUUAACAGCGGAGAUCUGGUAAUUUCAGCUGAAGUUUUCAUGUACCUGGCCAACUAGGUGCUCGUGACAAUAGAAAUGAAAUGGUCUAAUCCAAUAACAUUUGCAUGCCCCCAACCUUAUGUCUUCUGAACCAAAAUAAUUUCUGUUGCAAGUUGUAAAUUUUCAAGAUAUUGAUGCAUUCGCCAGAUCCCAUUCUUUGUUGCUAUCAGUUUUGCAGACAACAGCAAGAAAAUGCUGCUACUCAAGAUUUUAUGGUGACCAACACUUUGUUCUAAUUUAGGACAAUGUAAGGUUGAUAGAUUUGAGGUAAAUCCCUCUUCACCACUGUAAUAGUUGUUUGGAAACCGACAAGAGAUUGCUGGAAUUGAAGACUGAUAAUUUGUGUAGAUUUAGAUAAUUCUUUUCUGUCUUAUGAAAGCUUUUGGAGGGUCAUGGUCUAACCCGGAAACCUACUAUGACUAUACCUCGCCAGUAAAACUGGCCUUAUACUUCUCUCUUCUUCACUAUCCAGGUAAUCUCCUUGGGCACAGUUAGGGCAGUGUCACCUUCUGUCGUGAUUGAUUGCACUUCCAAGUUGGCAAAGUAUAGCGAUUUACAUUUACGGACAGUGAUUACUUCGUGCUCGCUGGACAUUCAAGAAAUUGCAAUACUUCUACCGCCAAAUAACUUUCUAGAUACUGUUCCUGCAUAGUGCUGGGAGUGAUGGACAAUUUGAAAAUAAUUUUUAAACGUUUGCAUUCCAUCGAUUUUGAUGCUGGUAUUAAUACAAAUUUUACAACAUUAUUUGCCAUGUACAUAUUUGUUACAUUAAA